AUUUCAUAAAGUGUCCACCACUGAUUAAAUGUUGGAGUGGCGUCCUAAGUUUUCUAAAUGAAGGUGGAAAUAAAAGUCCUGCUAUUGGAGGCGGCUCUAAAAAAUGUUCAAUAUUUGGUAUUUAUCACCCACCGCCACUCCCCCCUUCAUUAUUAAUGACCGGUCCCUAACGAUCUGGGCCGAGAUGGCACAGGUUGUUUGCAUUUGUUGUGUUGAAGUCUUGG